rnacentral:ncRNA from 1 species
GCUCAGGCGUUCCCUCCCGGACGAGGUGCGUCGUACCCGGCAGGCGAAGACGGCGCGUG